GCUUAUGAAAACUCUAGUUGGAGAACAAGAGGAUGAUGGACAGCUCUACUAAAGAAAUAGAGGACAAGCCUUCUAAGGGCAAGAGAAGAAAAGGCUUUGAGGUUAAGAAAAGUGCUGAGCAAGGGCAGAUGAUUCUUCAAACUCUCAAGCGAGCAAUUGGUGUUUGAGUCUGAAAUUGGGUGAUAUAAGAAGAUCAUAAGCCAAAGAGCGUACCAGUUCUGCCAUGGAUAUGAACCCCAAUUGACGUCAAUGCCUUGGAAAAAAAAACCCCUCUAUUCUGCCUUGACCUGACCCCAGGUUGGUCUGAAAGACCCCAAAACAAAACCAAAAAAAAAAAAAAACAA